rnacentral:rRNA from 1 species
AACAGGAUUAGAUACCCUGGUAGUCCACGCCCUAAACGAUGUCAACUGGUUGUUGGGAGGGUUUCUUCUCAGUAACGUAGCUAACGCGUGAAGUUGACCGCCUGGGGAGUACGGCCGCAAGGUUGAAACUCAAAGGAAUUGACGGGACCCGCACAAGCGGUGGAUAAUGUGGUUUAAUUCGAUGCAACGCGAAAAACCUUACCUACCCUUGACAUGCCAGGAAUCUUGCAGAGAUGUGAGAGUGCUCGAAAGAGAACCUGGACACAGGUGCUGCAUGGCCGUCGUCAGCUCGUGUCGUGAGAUGUUGGGUUAAGUCCCGCAACGAGCGCAACCCUUGUCAUUAGUUGCUACGAAAGGGCACCCUAAUGAGACUGCCGGUGACAAACCGGAGGAAGGUGGGGAUGACGUCAGGUCAUCAUGGCCCUUAUGGGUAGGGCUACACACGUCAUACAAUGGCCGGGACAGAGGGCUGCCAACCCGCGAGGGGGAGCUAAUCCCAGAAACCCGGUCAUAGUCCGGAUCGCAGUCUGCAACUCGACUGCGUGAAGUCGGAAUCGCUAGUAAUCGCGGAUCAGCUUGCCGCGGUGAAUACGUUCCCGGGUCUUGUACACACCGCCCGUCACACCAUGGGAGCGGGUUCUGCCAGAAGUAGUUAGCCUAACCGCAAGGAGGGCGAUUACCACGGCAGGGUUCGUGACUGGGGUGAAGUCGUAACAAGGUAACC